UGGGGAAUAUUGGACAAUGGGGGAAACCCUGAUCCAGCAAUGCCGCGUGAGUGAAGAAGGCCUUCGGGUUGUAAAGCUCUUUUGUUAGGGACGAUAAUGACGGUACCUAACGAAUAAGCUCCGGCUAACUUCGUGCCAGCAGCCGCGGUAAUACGAAGGGGGCUAGCGUUGUUCAGAAUUACUGGGCGUAAAGGGCGCGUAGGCGGUCUUUCAAGUCAGAUGUGAAAGCCCUAGGCUUAACCUAGGAGGUGCAUUUGAUACUGAUCGACUUGAGAUCGAGAGAGGAGAGUGGAAUUGUGAGUGUAGAGGUGAAAUUCGUAGAUAUUCACAAGAACACCGGUGGCGAAGGCGGCUCUCUGGCUCGAUACUGACGCUAAGGCGCGAAAGCGUGGGGAGCAAACAG
rnacentral:rRNA from 1 species